rnacentral:rRNA from 1 species
UACGUAGGGUGCGAGCGUUGUCCGGAAUUAUUGGGCGUAAAGAGCUUGUAGGCGGUUUGUCGCGUCUGCCGUGAAAAUCCGGGGCUCAACCCCGGACUUGCGGUGGGUACGGGCAGACUAGAGUGUGGUAGGGGAGACUGGAAUUCCUGGUGUAGCGGUGGAAUGCGCAGAUAUCAGGAGGAACACCGGUGGCGAAGGCGGGUCUCUGGGCCGUAACUGACGCUGAGGAGCGACAGCGUGGGGAGCAAACAGG